UGGGGAAAGGCUCGGCAUGUGAGGUAUAAUGCCGAGAUUUUCGGCACAAUUACGGCACAAAGUUUUAAUUCAAAAGCAUCCGCGUAGUGGCGCAUAGUGCUUUAUCGUGAUUCUCGGCAUAUUUUCGGUAUUGUAGUUUUUUGACAUGCACGGUGUAAAAGUGGCGUGGGUUCACAAAAAAACCCAUUUUCAGUGAUUUUCUUCAAUUUUCCGGCAAUCUAUUCGCGUUGCUGUGCUAGAGGAGAAUUUGUUUGGACUGCUGAAGGACACCGUACCGUUCCGGAGCUGUUUCAUCCCGUGUGCUUCACUUCAAAAAUAGGGGAGUCGACAUGGAAACUUAUUCUUGGGAACGACAGAGUCGACAUGGAAACGUACCAAGCGGGCAAGCAAACAAGGCCAUCGUCACACCAGUUUGGAAUAGGGACUCCAUAGUGCCUACAAGAGAUGCUUCUGAAGAAGGAAAAAUGAGAUAUCCGGAUGCGCAAGACAUCUGGAAUUUCACCCGAUCCAAUACUUCCUCAAAUGACGAUAUAAAAUAGUACAGUACAGAAAGGAAACAUCAAAGGCGAUUGCAUUACACUGGAUAUUCACAAUCUUGUCGAUCUUGGUUUCCAGUAAUCCAAUACCAACGGAUGGUACAUCAAAAUGUCUACCACUAGAGCUCUGAUUUAGACAAUUGGUUGAUGACACCAUCUUCAAUAAUGCAGCAAAGGAAAAUGGACAACUGACAGCGAUGGAAAAUUCUUCGCGUAGUUUUUCCUUAACUUCUAUCUGGAGACGGGCUUCCUGUAAAGAAAAAUUAAAAAAAAACAUCUCUUUAUUCAAGAAUUCCUUAAUAAAUAGAAAAAAACACAUUUUUGUCGGCUUUUGAGACUGAUUUCAUUAAAAAAAAUGAAUUAAAUUAUUUAUUAAUUUUAAAAAUGUGUUUAGCACAUAAUGAUUUUAUGCGAAUUUAAGUUUUUAUUUGCAACAUUUUUGCAAAUUUGUUAUAAAUCACUAUAACAAUUAUUGGUGAUUUUUUUAUUGAUUUAUUAGAAUUUUUUUGUGUUUAUUUGAAACUAGUCAACCCGAGCCCCCAAUCACGUGUGAGCAAACUCCAUUUUAAGCUAUAAAAGGGGGGCGUAUAUUAGUAGGGGGGAUGAAUAAUACGGUACCCCGAAAAAUUCUAAAAAAAAAAUCCCGUUAUCUGACUCUUUAACAGGUAGAAAAUGGGAAAAAAUCAAUUUUUCUGUGGGGGCGCUAUAAAGGGGGGUUGGGGCGGAAUCCCAUAUAGCGCUUGCAACUCGUAUUGACCCCCUCUACCCCCCUACAAAAUUUCAUCAAGAUCGGCCCAGCCGUUUCGGAGGAGUUCAUGUGCCACAGACAGACAAACAAACAUUUUCAGCUUUAUAUAUUAAGAUAAGAAUCAAAUUGUUUUGAAAAGAUUUUCCCACCAUUUUACAAAAUGGAAAUAUUUAUUUUAAUUGCUUAUAAACAUAGGUAAUAUUUAUUUAGAAUUUUAUUUGUACUAUCUUGUCUGUUUUUUGACACUAUUUUGCCAUGAAAUUGAAAUAUUUUAUCAAAAAACACUUUAUUUGCUAAUAUUUUAUAUGAUCAAUCAAAUGAUUUCAGCAAAAAUACAAAUUUUAACAAUUUGUUUUAAAGAAAACUAAAAAAGAUUAAAGAUAUUUUUUGAAUAAAGGAAAAUACUUUGUUUUUUUUCUUUUAUUAUGAAAAUAUUAUUCAGUACACUUAUAUCAGUUGAGAUUCAAUUAAAAUUAGGACAAUAUUCAAUUUUUUUCGAAAUUAAUUAAAAAUACAUUUAAUUUCAAUGAUGGGGUAGAUUCUGAUAUAAAUAUUUUCUAUUCUUUUGUUUUCUUACAAUUCGUCAGUUAUUAGUUUUUUGGUAUUCUGGGAAAAAUCUUAUAAGUAAGAUUUUGACAUUUCAUUUCUUUCUUUAAUCAGGCUUUUGAAGGAAAAUUACUUUUCCAAGGCUGAUUAAAGAUUUUUCUGACUGUUUUCUAGAACAAUUUUUUGUUUUCUCUUUGAAGGAUUUUAAAACAUAAAAUGUCAAAAUUUUCCAACAACUUUUAAAUUGUUAGAAAGUAAAAAGAUUUUUAUCAGAAACGACCCCUAUGUUUAACCCUUUAAGGUUUUUUGGGUCAUACGCUGAUCCAAACGUGAAACAUUUUAUUUUUUCAAUUAUUUAAGAAUGUAAUUGUUUUUCCAUGUUACAAAUGCAUCAAAUUCACGCAUAAGGGGUCAAAGAAGACAUUCUGUGUGAGAAAAGUCCUCUAAAAAAAAUUCAUAGAAUAAAAAUCGCGAUAAAAGAGCGCAUGUUUCAAUGUUUUUAUGUUUCACGUUGGACGUUAAAGGGUUAAAUAUUUUUCGUCUUUUAUUCAGUUUUCAGAAUCUAUUAAAACUUGCCAUUUACGUGAAUUCUCACAAUUUGUGGAUGAGUAUGAUUUUAGAUAAUAAUGAAAUGUUCAUUUGAAAACGUUAAAUUCUUACAAUAAAAUUUGUAUAAGACAUGAAUGACAUGAUUUAGGCAAGAAUCUUGAAGAUUUUGAUAAAAAUCGCGUAAAAUUGCAAUGUAUCGCGAAAAAGUAUUGUCAAAAUCUUACUUUAUAAGUCUUACAAGUUUAAAAUUAAAAUAUGUUAAACACUGCUAGGCAAAAUUGUCUUUUACCACUUUUAAAAAUUAUGGCAAAAUAGUGGUCCAACCAGACAAAACGUUACAAAAAAAAAUCUUUUUUGAUACGAAAAACAGAUUAAUUUUGUCUUGGAUAGUAUACUUAAUUCAGAAAAAAAAGCCAUUCAUUUUUAAUUGAAUAUGUAAUUUAAAGGAACUAUGCUUUCUGUUUUCUACAAACUUUUAAUCAAUGAAUUGCAAUUUAGAUAAGAUUUGUUUUUUUCACUAAACUUAUAAUUUGAAUACAAAA